GAUGAACGCUGGCGGCGUGCCUAAUACAUGCAAGUCGAGCGAACAGAUGAGGAGCUUGCUCCUCUGACGUUAGCGGCGGACGGGUGAGUAACACGUGGAUAACCUACCUAUAAGACUGGGAUAACUUCGGGAAACCGGAGCUAAUACCGGAUAAUAUAUUGAACCGCAUGGUUCAAUAGUGAAAGACGGUUUUGCUGUCACUUAUAGAUGGAUCCGCGCCGCAUUAGCUAGUUGGUAAGGUAACGGCUUACCAAGGCAACGAUGCGUAGCCGACCUGAGAGAGUGAUCGGCCACACUGGAACUGAGACACGGUCCAGACUCCUACGGGAGGCAGCAGUAGGGAAUCUUCCGCAAUGGGCGAAAGCCUGACGGAGCAACGCCGCGUGAGUGAUGAAGGUCUUCGGAUCGUAAAACUCUGUUAUUGGGGAAGAAGAAAUGUGUAAGUAACUAUGCACGUCUUGACGGUACCUAAUCAGAAAGCCACGGCUAACUACGUG
rnacentral:rRNA from 1 species